GACGAACGCUGGCGGCGUGCUUAACACAUGCAAGUCGAACGGAAAGGCCCUGCUUUUGUGGGGUGCUCGAGUGGCGAACGGGUGAGUAACACGUGAGUAACCUGCCCUUGACUUUGGGAUAACUUCAGGAAACUGGGGCUAAUACCGGAUAGGAGCUCCUGCUGCAUGGUGGGGGUUGGAAAGUUUCGGCGGUUGGGGAUGGACUCGCGGCUUAUCAGCUUGUUGGUGGGGUAGUGGCUUACCAAGGCUUUGACGGGUAGCCGGCAUGAGAGGGUGACCGGCCACAUUGGGACUGAGAUACGGCGCAGACUCCUACGGGAGGCAGCAGUGGGGAAUAUUGCACAAUGGGCGGAAGCCUGAUGCAGCAACGCCGCGUGCGGGAUGACGGCCUUCGGGUUGUAAACCGCUUUGGCCUGUGACGAAGCGUGAGUGACGGUAAUGGGUAAAGAAGCACCGGCUAACUACGUG
rnacentral:rRNA from 1 species